GACGAACGCUGGCGGCGUGCUUAACACAUGCAAGUCGAACGAAGUGGCGAACGGGUGAGUAACGCGUAAUCAACCUGCCCUUCAGAGGGGGACAACAGUUGGAAACGACUGCUAAUACCGCAAACUGAAGGAGGGGAUUGCGUCUGAUUGGCUAGUUGGAGGGGUAACGGCCCACCAAGGCGAUGAUCAGUAGCCGGGCUGAGAGGAUGAACGGCCACAUUGGGACUGGGGCACGGCCCAGGAUCCUACGGGAGGCGACAGUGGGGAAUCUUCCGAAAUGGACGGAAGUCUGACGGCGCAACGCCGCCGGAGUGGUGGCGGCCUUCGGGUUGUAAAGCUCUGUUAAUCGGGACGCGGUACCGGAAUAGAAAGCCACGGCUAACUACGUGCCAGCAGCCGCGGUAAUUC
rnacentral:rRNA from 1 species